GCCAGUGUGGUGCAGCGGUUAGCGCAUCUGCCUGAUAAGCAGGAGACCCGGGUUUGAAUCCCAGCACUGAUA